rnacentral:rRNA from 1 species
CUGCAGCCCGAGUGGUGAUCGAUUUUAUUGAGCCUAAAGCGUCCGUAGCCGGACUAGUAAACCCUUGGGUAAAUUGGGCAGCUUAACUGUCCAAAUUCCGAGGGGACUGCUAGUCUUGGGACCGGGAGAGGUCAGAGGUACUCAAGGGGUAGGGGCUAAAUCCUGUAAUCCUUUGGGGACCACCAGUGGCGAAGGCGUCUGACUAGAACGGAUCCGACGGUAAGGGACGAAACCCUGGGGCGCGAACCGGAUUAGAUACCCCCGUAGUCC